GCCGAAGUGGUGGAACUGGUAUACACGACGGAUUCAAAAUCCGUUGCUCUCACGGGCAUGUGGGUUCGACUCCCACCUUCGGCACCA
rnacentral:tRNA from 1 species